GGCUUGUUAGCUCAGUUGGUAGAGCACUGCACUGGUACUGCAGAGGUCAUGGGUUCAAAUCCCAUACAAUCCU
rnacentral:tRNA from 1 species